rnacentral:lncRNA from 12 species
AUGGUUCCAGGGGUUUUAUUGUUGUUGGCAUUCUAUCACUUGUUCUGUUGGGGGAGGAGGAAUUAUAUGUUCUCUGCUCUGAAUUCUCGGUGGCCUAACGCUAUUCUGUUCCAAAGUGUUGAACAAUGGGAGUUUGGGGGCCUGCUGGUUAACAAUUUCAGGCACUUAAAAGCAUCAAGAAGCUUCUAAUUGCUAACAGGGAAAGACCUCGCUUCUCUCUGCCUGUCCUCCUCCCUGACCUAUAUGCAGAACAGAUAUUGUCAUUUCCAACAAGAAGAAUGAGGCCGACCACAAAUAAUAAGUGACAAAAGUAAUUAAUUUGUACAUGUGAGAACCUAUCAAUCCAUUGUAGCCGAGUUCUCUAAGGAAGAUUUUUCACACAAUUGCACAUCUUCCAGUCAGGUCCCUUGAUAAUUGGUAAAUGUGAAAUGCAGUGCCCGUACUUUAGAGAAUGUGGUUCCCUAUCACAUAGGGCCUGUGAUGUCCUAAAAUUAGAAUAACUGGUAUAGGCAACGGUGACCCGACAGACAGCAAGUCUCGCUUCCAGACAAUUACCGUUAAAGACAUAACCUAUUUAAACAAAGUAACAGGGGAUCGCAUAUAACAGAAGGAAAUAAGGGCAUGGAUUAGGGUAGCAUUUUAAAACUCUAUUGCAAAUAGGUAAUUAGCAGAUAAAAAUAGAAAAUAAGCUUGCUCCAACUGUCUCCAUUGAAGAGGGAAGGUUAUUAUUGGAACCCACAUGGAUUCAAUAUUUGGCUAUGGAAAGCCAGGUAAGGAACAUGGACAUUGUGGAGUUCAGGU